rnacentral:rRNA from 1 species
AUUGAACGCUGGCGGCAGGCCUAACACAUGCAAGUCGAGCGGAUGAAGGGAGCUUGCUCCUGGAUUCAGCGGCGGACGGGUGAGUAAUGCCUAGGAAUCUGCCUGGUAGUGGGGGAUAACGUCCGGAAACGGGCGCUAAUACCGCAUACGUCCUGAGGGAGAAAGUGGGGGAUCUUCGGACCUCACGCUAUCAGAUGAGCCUAGGUCGGAUUAGCUAGUUGGUGGGGUAAAGGCCUACCAAGGCGACGAUCCGUAACUGGUCUGAGAGGAUGAUCAGUCACACUGGAACUGAGACACGGUCCAGACUCCUGCGGGAGGCAGCAGUGGGGAAUAUUGGACAAUGGGCGAAAGCCUGGUCCAGCCAUGCCGCGUGUGUGAAGAAGGUCCUCGGAUUGUAAAGCACUUUAAGUUGGGAGGAAGGGCAGUAAGUUAAUACCUUGCUGUUUUGACGUUACCAACAGAAUAAGCACCGGCUAACUUCGUG